rnacentral:misc_RNA from 1 species
ACGUAGGUCUAGGUCAGGCAGUAGGUCAAGGAGUCGCAGCAGAAGCCGCAGUAGCCGCAGCAAGUCCAAGUCCAAGUCUAAGUCACCAGCACGCAAGUCCAGAUCUAAGUCCAGGUCCAAAUCCAGAUCCAGGUCCAAGUCCCCAUCUAAGUCCAAGUCUAAGUCCAGGUCUAGGUCAAGGUCAAAGUCUCGUUCCCCAAGUCCUGGAGACAAGGACGAUAAGGAUGAAAACUAGUGUUAUUUAACUCAAGGAACUCAAAGUUAGAGUAUCCUUAAAAGUUGUAAAGUAACAUUGUAAAUAGGAGAACACAAGAAUCUUCAAAGAUAAUUACAAGUAUAACCGAAAAACUAAGUGAUAGGAUAACGAUUUAAAAAUCUUGGUUUUUACCUUCAUGUAUGUUCAGUAUGUGUUUGAUAAUUUUGUUUAGAUACAUUGCAUAUUAUUGUCCAUUGAUAAAAACACCAUUCACAGUUCAUGUAACUGCACAAGAUGGUCUCAAGUAUUGUCAUCCUCACUCUGUGUUACAGAGCUGUAUCAGGUCACACUGAUGUCUCAUGUCACCCCCCAGACAAAGAUUGGACAAACAAACAACAUGGUGACUGGGGAUUUUUUUGUUAAUAUUUUAAUCAUAAUACAAUCUAUCAAUUAUUGUAUCUGUAUUAUUUCAAACCAUGUUUUAUGCAUUUCUUCAUUUUUCAUUGUGAUACAUACAGAGCAUGUUUUAUAUUUCAUUUUCUCUCUUUUUUUUUUUUGGAACUUGCAUUGUUGUGUUUACCAUUAUAUUAAAAUUGAAAAGUACUUAGCAUGGAACAAAACAAAGUCACUUGUAUUUCAUGUAAUGAAAGUCUGAAAGGCGGCAGUUGAUCAAUGAUAAAAGAAUUAACUAUCACCCAAACUUUUGAUUUAUGGUACAGUUUAAAUUGAUUUAAUUAUUUGCUUUUUGGGUGUUAUUUGUUUUUUUUAUUAAGGAUAUAAUUUCUUUGCUUUUUACACAGUGUGUGUUUUAUUAGCUUGCUCUAAAAAAAAUAAGAUUUUAAUUUAGUGUAGUAAAUCAAUUUGUGAUGAUUUUUGGUCAAAGAUUUGUAUUUUCCCAGUAGAAGGACACAUUUUUCAUCCAAGAAAUUUAAAUGUUGUCAAUAAAUUUUACAAUG